AGGAGCCCCUUUCAGGCUUGUCCUGAAAAUAGCGUUCCGUGGACAGCCAUGGACCGUCCUCUCUGAGGAUGAAGGAUCUUUGCCCCCUGGCCACAGGACGAAUGUGACCAAAGUGUUUAAUGCAUGCACUUCUCCCCGUUGUCCCCCGAAGCUCGCAGGCAUAAAUCAAAACGCCCCCGAAUUCUUCAGGGAUGGCGGCUGGAAAUGCAACGUUGUAUGAAAUGUUUCCAAUUUGCUUUCAGCCAAAUUACCUCUUAUGCUUUAAAGGGCAAACUUGUUUUCUUUGAUUAUGAUGGCGCCCAUCAGCUCCCGACAGCUCAUUUGGGUGAACAAGAAAACGCCCGUGGAACUCGGACUGGGGGGAAACGCGUCUGACUCUGAUGACAAAAAUCACUGGAAAAUCUCUUUUCCUUGAAUUCUAAUAUGAUCAUUUCAUGUCCCCUUUAACGCCACCAACCUUAAUAUUUAAAUCAUUUCCAACUCCAGCCUCUCCUUUGAAAAUUCCUGCCCUGAGAGUUGAAGCAAGAUUGUUAAUGGUUGGGGAACUUUAAUUGGAUCUUCCCUUUAUUUGUCAUUAAUUCUGCUGAUGAACUUUAUAAAUGGAAAUAUAUCUUUAUCAUGCAAA